UUUUUUCUGGUUGCUGGAGGGCUACAAAAAAGAAAUAGGAAUUCAAAGUGUGCUUGAAGUUUGAGUGGAGCUGCGAUAUUUGCAUAGUACCGAACUUGUUAGUGGUAUAAAACUCAAAAAAAAAAAAAAAAUAUUUAUUCCAAAAAAGUGCGAGAAUUCAGUUUCAUUGCCGACGCAAAAAGGCGCAGCAACUUUGUGGCGCACAAAAGUAGGCAACAGAAGCGCCAACUUUCCUUGCUGGAUCCACCACCACCACAAAGCCACCCACCGAGCAACACUGCCAAUUAAAGUUGCCACAGCAGCUGCCACACACACAUUCACUGCCAAAAACGAAAAAACAAAAGACAAA